rnacentral:pre_miRNA from 1 species
UGAUCCUCUUUAUAUCUUUCCACAGCUUUCUUGAACUGCAUCUAGCAUAAGAUAUCUGAUCUCUGCAUGCGGUUCAAUAAAGCUGUGGGAAGAUACAAACAGGUUCA